UGACCGCUGGCGGCGUGCCUAAUACAUGCACGUCGAGCGAACGGACGAGAAGCUUGCUUCUCUGAUGUUAGCGGCGGACGGGUGAGUAACACGUGGAUAACCUACCUAUAAGACUGGGAUAACUUCGGGAAACCGUAGCUAAUACCGGAUAAUAUUUUGAACCGCAUGGUUCAAAAGUGAAAGACGGUCUUGCUGUCACUUAUAGAUGGAUCCGCGCUGCAUUAGCUAGUUGGUAAGGUAACGGCUUACCAAGGCAACGAUGCAUAGCCGACCUGAGAGGGUGAUCGGCCACACUGGAACUGAGACACGGUCCAGACUCCUACGGGAGGCAGCAGUAGGGAAUCUUCCGCAAUGGGCGAAAGCCUGACGGAGCAACGCCGCGUGAGUGAUGAAGGUCUUCGGAUCGUAAAACUCUGUUAUUAGGGAAGAACAUAUGUGUAAGUAACUGUGCACAUCUUGACGGUACCUAAUCAGAAAGCCACGGCUAACUACGUG
rnacentral:rRNA from 1 species